ensembl:lncRNA
AAACUUGGUUGACGUUUCCAGCUCUAAAUGCGUUUGGUGUUCCAGAGGACACACAUGCACCAACAACCUCCAGUAGAACUAAAUUUAGCAGUUAGAUGGGGGCUGCACUCCCACUGAAUCAAGUUCUCCUGUCCCUGAACAGAGACAAGAUGUGCUUGAUGCUGGGUUGUGUCUGAGUGUUGCAGAAAAUGGGCAGAUGUUUGGAACUGAAACUGGUUCUUAUGAGGGACCUGUGGCUUGGAGAUUACCCCUCAGCACCGCUGCAGGGGAGGCUGAUGCAUCACCCUGAGCUGCUUGCUGAAUCAUGCAAAGAGGUCUGGCUUCACCAGAAACAAAAUCCAUCUCUCUGUCGGCAGUUAAAUCCAGCUCAACUCCCGAGCUGAUGAUGAAGAUGAUAAACUAUUCAUAAACAUUGUUUCCUGAUUCUGGUAUGCAGGCUUGAAGGGAUGCUGCUGUUCCAGCCUUGGGGAGCAGCUGUUUAGUUGUACGUUGGGGAAGUUGCUUUCAAAUAAAGGUCUCUUUGUCUCUCUAGAGCUGGUGUGCAGAAUGUUGUGUGAAAAUGCCAGAUACUUGCUGACUGGAGAACUUGAAACUUCUGAGACGUGACAGCAGAGGGAGCCAUUGAGAUUUGUU